AUCGAACGCUGGCGGCAGGCUUAACACAUGCAAGUCGAACGAGUGGCGGACGGGUGGUUAAUGUCCGGGAAACUGCCUGAUGGAGGGGGAUAACUACUGGAAAGGGUAGCUAAUACGGCAUACCAUCAGAUGUGCCCAGAUGUGAUUAGCUAGUUGGUGGGGUAAUGUCACACCAAGGCGACGGUGCGUAGCUGGUCUGAGAGGACGACCGGCCACACUGGCACUGAGCCACGGUCCAAACUCCUACGGGAGGCAGCAGUGGGGAAUAUUGCACAAUGUGCGCAAGCCUGAUGCAGCCAUGCCGCGUGUGUGAAGAAGGUCUUCGGGUUGUAAAGCACUUUCAGCAGGGAGGCGUUACCCGCAGAAGAAGCACCGGCUAACUCCGUGCCAGCAGCCGCGGUAAUUC
rnacentral:rRNA from 1 species